rnacentral:lncRNA from 1 species
UUUAUUUUUUUAAUUAUUAAUUAAUCUAUUAUAUCAAUUUUGUUUAAAACCGAUGUGAUAGUUAUUUUAAAUGAAUUCUAAAAAUAUGGCGCUAUGAGGCUUUUUUAUUUUUUUAUUUUUGUUUAAUAUAUUCUAAUUGUUUUGACUAAAAAUCGACGUGUUUGUUCUAUUGCAUGAAUAUUUCAGAGAACUAAUUUUUCAUUUACCUAUCAACAAACGCUUUAACUUCAUCGUCAUCCUCUUCACAAAAUCC